rnacentral:rRNA from 2 species
UGAGGUGGUUCUGGUUUCCUAGACAGGGAGACAGGUGUUGCAUGGUUGCCGUCAGCUCGUGUCGUGAGAUGUUGGGUUAAGUCCCGCAACGAGCGCAACCCCGUUCUGUGUUGCCAGCGUAAAGUCGGGCACUCACAGGAGACUGCCGGAGACAAUUCGGAGGAAGGUGGGGAUGACGUCAAAUCCUCAUGGCCCUUAUGACCUGGGCUACACACGCGCUACAAUGGCCUGUACAGAGGGAAGCGAAAGAGCGAUCUGGAGCGAAUCUCACAAAACAGGUCUCAGUUCGGAUUGCAGGCUGAAACCCGCCUGCAUGAAGCCGGAAUUGCUAGUAAUCGCAGAUCAGCUACGCUGCGGUGAAUACGUUCUCGGGCCUU